AGAGUUUGAUCCUGGCUCAGGAUGAACGCUAGCGGCAGGCCUAACACAUGCAAGUCGAGGGGCAGCACGGUGUAGCAAUACACUGGUGGCGACCGGCGCACGGGUGCGUAACGCGUAUGCAACCUACCCAUAACAGGGGGAUAACACUGAGAAAUUGGUACUAAUACCCCAUAACAUCAGGACCGGCAUCGGUUCUGGUUGAAAACUCCGGUGGUUAUGGAUGGGCAUGCGUUGUAUUAGCUGGUUGGUGAGGUAACGGCUCACCAAGGCAACGAUACAUAGGGGGACUGAGAGGUUAACCCCCCACAUUGGUACUGAGACACGGACCAAACUCCUACGGGAGGCAGCAGUGAGGAAUAUUGGUCAAUGGACGCAAGUCUGAACCAGCCAUGCCGCGUGCAGGAAGACGGCUCUAUGAGUUGUAAACUGCUUUUGUACGAGGGUAAACUCACCUACGUGUAGGUGACUGAAAGUAUCGUACGAAUAAGGAUCGGCUAACUCCGUGCCAGCAGCCGCGGUAAUACGGAGGAUCCAAGCGUUAUCCGGAUUUAUUGGGUUUAAAGGGUGCGUAGGCGGUUUGAUAAGUUAGAGGUGAAAUCCCGGGGCUUAACUCCGGAACUGCCUCUAAUACUGUUAGACUAGAGAGUAGUUGCGGUAGGCGGAAUGUAUGGUGUAGCGGUGAAAUGCUUAGAGAUCAUACAGAACACCGAUUGCGAAGGCAGCUUACCAAACUAUAUCUGACGUUGAGGCACGAAAGCGUGGGGAGCAAACAGGAUUAGAUACCCUGGUAGUCCACGCAGUAAACGAUGAUAACUCGUUGUCGGCGAUACACAGUCGGUGACUAAGCGAAAGCGAUAAGUUAUCCACCUGGGGAGUACGUUCGCAAGAAUGAAACUCAAAGGAAUUGACGGGGGCCCGCACAAGCGGAGGAACAUGUG
rnacentral:rRNA from 1 species